UUAAUUUGACUCAACACGGGGAAACUUACCAGGUCCAGACAUAGUAAGGAUUGACAGACUGAGAGCUCUUUCUUGAUUCUAUGAGUGGUGGUGCAUGGCCGUUCUUAGUUGGUGGAGCGAUUUGUCUGGUUAAUUCCGUUAACAAACGAGACCUCAGCCUGCUAACUAGCUACGUGGAGGCAUCCCUUCACGGCCGGCUUCUUAGAGGGACUAUGGCCGUUUAGGCCAAGGAAGUUUGAGGCAAUAACAGGUCUGUGAUGCCCAUAGUCAGACAUUCCGGUCC
rnacentral:ncRNA from 2 species